rnacentral:rRNA from 1 species
UACGGGGGGGGCAAGCGUUGUUCGGAAUUACUGGGCGUAAAGGGCUCGUAGGCGGCCCUCUCAGUCGGAUGUGAAAACCCGCGGCUCAACUGUGGGCGGGCAGCUGAUACGGGCGGGCUGGAGUUCGGUAGGGGAGACUGGAAUUCCUGGUGUAGCGGUGAAAUGCGCAGAUAUCAGGAGGAACACCGGUGGCGAAGGCGGGUCUCUGGGCCGAUACUGACGCUGAGGAGCGAAAGCGUGGGGAGCGAACAGG